GAUGAGAACGUAGCGAAAUGCGAUACUUGGUGUGAAUUGCAGAAUCCCGUGAACCAUCGAGUCUUUGAACGCAAGUUGCGCCCGAAGCCAUUAGGCCGAGGGCACGCCUGCCUGGGCGUCACACGUCGUUGCCCCCCCCAUCUACUCCUUCGGGAUUGCGGGGGGCGGAUGAUGGCCUCCCGUGCGCCUCGCCGCGCGGUUGGCAUAAAUGCCAAGUCCUCGGCGACGCACGCCACGACAAUCGGUGGUUGCGAAACCUCGGUUGCCCGUCGUGUGCGGUCGUCGCGCAUCGAGGGCUCGAAAAAAUUGCCGAGUUCCGGCUCGGCUUUCAACGCGACCCCAGGUCAGGCGGGGUUACCCGCUGAAUUUAAGCAUAUCAAUAAGCGGAGGA
rnacentral:misc_RNA from 1 species